UACGUAGGGAGCAAGCGUUUGUCCGGAAUCAUUGGGCGUAAAGCGCGCGUAGGUGGCUUCGUAAGUCCGUUGUGAAAGUCAAAGGCUCAACCUUUGAAAGCCGAUGGAUACUGUGAAGCUAGAGUACGGAAGAGGCGAGUAGAAUUCCUGGUGUAGCGGUGGAAUGCGCAGAUAUCAGGAGGAAUACCCAUAGCGAAGGCAGCUCGCUGGGACGUUACUGACGCUGAGGCGCGAAAGCGUGGGGAGCGAACAGG
rnacentral:rRNA from 1 species